rnacentral:rRNA from 1 species
UGAGGAAUAUUGGUCAAUGGGCGAGAGCCUGAACCAGCCAAGUCGCGUGAAGGACGACGGUUCUAUGGAUUGUAAACUUCUUUUGUAGAGGAAUAAUGGCAGCUACGUGUAGCUGAGAUGCAUGUACUCUACGAAUAAGUAUCGGCUAACUCCGUGCCAGCAGCCGCGGUAAUACGGAGGAUACGAGCGUUAUCCGGAAUUAUUGGGUUUAAAGGGUGCGUAGGUGGCGUAUUAAGUCAGUGGUGAAAAGCUGCAGCUCAACUGUAGUCUUGCCGUUGAAACUGAUAUGCUAGAGAGGAGACGAGGUAUGCGGAAUGUGUGGUGUAGCGGUGAAAUGCAUAGAUAUCACACAGAACGCCGAUUGCGAAGGCAGCGUACCAGGCUCCGUCUGACACUGAAGCACGAAGGCGUGGGGAUCAAACAGGAUUAGAUACCCUGGUAGUCCACGCAGUAAACGAUGAAUACUAGAUUUUUGCGAUAUACUGUAAGAGUCUAAGCGAAAGCGAUAAGUAUUCCACCUGGGGAGUACGCCGGCAACGGUG